UACGUAGGGUGCAAGCGUUAAUCGGAAUUACUGGGCGUAAAGCGGGCGCAGGCGGUUAUGCAAGGCAGAUGUGAAAUCCCCGGGCUCAACCUGGGAACUGCAUUUGUGACUGCAUGGCUGGAGUACGGUAGAGGGGGAUGGAAUUCCGCGUGUAGCAGUGAAAUGCGUAGAUAUGCGGAGGAACACCGAUGGCGAAGGCAAUCCCCUGGACCUGUACUGACGCUCAUGCACGAAAGCGUGGGGAGCAAACAGG
rnacentral:rRNA from 1 species